rnacentral:rRNA from 1 species
GUAAGUGUCUAAGGGCGCAUGGUGGAUGCCUUGGCAUCGAGAGCCGAUGAAGGACGUGGGAGGCUGCGAUAUGCCUCGGGGAGCUGUCAACCGAGCGUGGAUCCGAGGAUUUCCGAAUGGGGAAACCCAGCACGAGUGAUGUCGUGCUACCCGCAUCUGAAUAUAUAGGGUGCGGGAGGGAACGCGGGGAAGUGAAACAUCUCAGUACCCGUAGGAGGAGAAAACAAUUGUGAUUCCGCAAGUAGUGGCGAGCGAACGCGGAACAGGCUAAACCGCACGCAUGGGUAACCGGGUAGGGGUUGUGUGUGCGGGGUUGUGGGAGGAUAUGUCUCAGCGCUACCCGGCUGAGAGGCAGUCAGAAAGUGUCGUGGUUAGCGGAAGUGGCCUGGGAUGGUCUGCCGUAGACGGUGAGAGCCCGGUACGCGAAAACCCGGCACCUGCCUAGUAUCAAUUCCCGAGUAGCAGCGGGCCCGUGGAAUCCGCUGUGAAUCCGCCGGGACCACCCGGUAAGCCUAAAUACUCCUCGAUGACCGAUAGCGGAUUAGUACCGUGAGGGAAUGGUGAAAAGUACCCCGGGAGGGGAGUGAAAGAGUACCUGAAACCGUGUGCCUACAAUCCGUCAGAGCCUCCUUUUCCUCUCCGGAGGAGGGUGGUGAUGGCGUGCCUUUUGAAGAAUGAGCCUGCGAGUCAGGGACAUGUCGCAAGGUUAACCCGUGUGGGGUAGCCGCAGCGAAAGCGAGUCUGAAUAGGGCGACCCACACGCGCAUACGCGCGUGUGAAUAGUGGCGUGUUCUGGACCCGAAGCGGAGUGAUCUACCCAUGGCCAGGGUGAAGCGCGGGUAAGACCGCGUGGAGGCCCGAACCCACUUAGGUUGAAGACUGAGGGGAUGAGCUGUGGGUAGGGGUGAAAGGCCAAUCAAACUCCGUGAUAGCUGGUUCUCCCCGAAAUGCAUUUAGGUGCAGCGUUGCGUGGUUCACCGCGGAGGUAGAGCUACUGGAUGGCCGAUGGGCCCUACUAGGUUACUGACGUCAGCCAAACUCCGAAUGCCGUGGUGUAAAGCGUGGCAGUGAGACGGCGGGGGAUAAGCUCCGUACGUCGAAAGGGAAACAGCCCAGAUCGCCGGCUAAGGCCCCCAAGCGUGUGCUAAGUGGGAAAGGAUGUGCAGUCGCAAAGACAACCAGGAGGUUGGCUUAGAAGCAGCCACCCUUGAAAGAGUGCGUAAUAGCUCACUGGUCAAGUGAUUGUGCGCCGAUAAUGUAGCGGGGCUCAAGCACACCGCCGAAGCCGCGGCACAUCCACCUUGUGGUGGGUGUGGGUAGGGGAGCGUCCCUCAUUCAGCGAAGCCACCGGGUGACCGGUGGUGGAGGGUGGGGGAGUGAGAAUGCAGGCAUGAGUAGCGACAAGGCAAGUGAGAACCUUGCCCGCCGAAAGACCAAGGGUUCCUGGGCCAGGCCAGUCCGCCCAGGGUGAGUCGGGACCUAAGGCGAGGCCGACAGGCGUAGUCGAUGGACAACGGGUUGAUAUUCCCGUACCCGUGUGUGGGCGCCCGUGACGAAUCAGCGGUACUAACCACCCAAAACCGGAUCGAUCACUCCCCUUCGGGGGUGUGGAGUUCUGGGGCUGCGUGGGAACUUCGCUGGUAGUAGUCAAGCGAAGGGGUGACGCAGGAAGGUAGCCGUACCAGUCAGUGGUAACACUGGGGCAAGCCGGUAGGGAGAGCGAUAGGCAAAUCCGUCGCUCACUAAUCCUGAGAGGUGACGCAUAGCCGGUUGAGGCGAAUUCGGUGAUCCUCUGCUGCCAAGAAAAGCCUCUAGCGAGCACACACACGGCCCGUACCCCAAACCGACACAGGUGGUCAGGUAGAGCAUACCAAGGCGUACGAGAUAACUAUGGUUAAGGAACUCGGCAAAAUGCCCCCGUAACUUCGGGAGAAGGGGGACCGGAAUAUCGUGAACACCCUUGCGGUGGGAGCGGGAUCCGGUCGCAGAAACCAGUGAGGAGCGACUGUUUACUAAAAACACAGGUCCGUGCGAAGUCGCAAGACGAUGUAUACGGACUGACGCCUGCCCGGUGCUGGAAGGUUAAGAGGACCCGUUAACCCGCAAGGGUGAAGCGGAGAAUUUAAGCCCCAGUAAACGGCGGUGGUAACUAUAACCAUCCUAAGGUAGCGAAAUUCCUUGUCGGGUAAGUUCCGACCUGCACGAAUGGCGUAACGACUUCUCAACUGUCUCAACCAUAGACUCGGCGAAAUUGCACUACGAGUAAAGAUGCUCGUUACGCGCGGCAGGACGAAAAGACCCCGGGACCUUCACUACAACUUGGUAUUGAUGUUCGGUACGGUUU